CACACACGGAUCUUGGUUCCGGUCGGGAGACAUCCGGCCAGCGCCUCCGGUGGCGGUUUCCGCCUGACGGUCCGUGGAGGUUCAACCGGAAAGGAUAACG
rnacentral:sRNA from 1 species